rnacentral:rRNA from 1 species
UACGUAGGGACCAAGCGUUGUUCGGAUUUACUGGGCGUAAAGGGCGCGUAGGCGGCGUGUUAAGUCAGCUGUGAAAUCUCCGAGCUUAACUCGGAACGGUCAGCUGAUACUGAUGUGCUAGAGUGCAGAAGGGGCAAUCGGAAUUCUUGGUGUAGCGGUGAAAUGCGUAGAUAUCAAGAGGAACACCUGAGGUGAAGACGGGUUGCUGGGCUGACACUGACGCUGAGGCGCGAAAG